CCUGUGCAUUGAGAUAUUGCAGGUGUGGCGGCUGUGUCACCUGUGCAUCAGUAGGAGGCAGAAAGGAGACAGGCUAUUUUUAAUCUCAGUGUUCUGAGAAGGAUGCAGACAUAAUGAAGAGAGUCAAA